AUUUCUAUUCCCUUCCAAAAGCAGCGUUUAGCUAUUACUUCUCUGUUAUGAUUUUCUUUUUCAAUUUUUGCCCUCAGCUUCAUCUUCUGCUUCUGUAACUUUCUUUCCAACCGUCUCACGUUUCCCUUUUUUUCCAUUAAUUGCAGAGGAGACCUAGAUAUUUAAGGUAAUUUUUAUUUUUUCCUCCUUCUCCUUCUUCUGUUCUUCAUCUUCUUCUCCUUCUUCAUCCAGGUACCUUUCCUCCUUCUACUUCUUCCAUUCUUCAUCUUUUAUUUCCAAUUUUCCUUAGCAUUGUCCGUCGUAUAUCUUCUCUUCUCAGGGCUGCUAUUUUGUUUCGCUCAAACCUAUGGCUGCUUUUACCUCUUUCUCUCUUUUUCGGUACUCUUUUAUCUGUUUAUAUUUUGUUAAUGUUAAGGACAGAGUGAUAAAGUAUUGAUUCUGGGUAUUUGAUUUGGACAAUAAUUAUGCAACGACUGGAAGGAUUGUUGCAAUUGUGAGAGCCUCACCACGACUCUCUUCUUCUCUCACCUCAUCAAUUUUCUAACACCAAAUCACUCACGCAGAUAUCUAUGUCUUGCUAGUCCUACACAUGAUGAAGAGGCUGCGGCAAAGGCAGCUGCAAUCAAUUAUGAUAGUGGAGCUCCAACCAUAUUUGACAAGAUCAUAGCUAAGGAAAUUCCUUCAACCAUCGUGUAUGAAGAUGAUAAAGUCUUAGCAUUCAAAGACAUCAGUCCGCAGGCUCCUGUUCAUGUUUUGGUGAUUCCAAAGUUUAGGGAUGGGUUGACACGGCUUGGGAAGUAAGGGAGAAAAAGAUUGGACAAGAAGAAUUGGCAAUGAUCGUCAUUUAAUCUGCAUAGAGGAUCCUUCUAUGGUAUCUCAUGACCUUGGUCGAGUGGUGGACAAGUUCAGCAUUAAAGUUCUAAGAGAAGAGUUUGAACGAGCGGCUGAUGUAAUGCAGUAUGAUCCAAAUCCUUAGAUAACACUCUUUGAGCCUUACGUCCCUAGGUAACAAAACCUUGUCCAAGUGUGUUAGAAAAUCAAUGGUUAAAAUUAUUUGGUUGGUUUUUGUAGUCGAUGUGCUUUGCGUCCCCCAUAAUCUUCAAUUUUGACCUUUUGAGUUCACAUCCAUUUUAAAGAAGUUUAAGCUUAUUAUAUGUAAUCAAGAAAAGAAAUUUCCAAACAUUUUAUGGAUGGAUGUUAAACAAGUUGUAAUUAAUUAAUUGAUAGUGUAUACAAAUUCAUGUAUGAUCCAAACAUAUUCAUAUCAAA